AUUCAACAUUAAGAGUUGGGCCAACGCCCACGCCAACCUGCCUUCCGGGGCAAGGUGGUCGCCAAGCGCAAUGUGGUGCCCUCGGGUGCAACCAAGCCGGCAGCU
rnacentral:ncRNA from 2 species